GUCCAGGGAUGAGAAUCAAACCCACAGUGUUCCACUUCUCGGGCAGAUGCCAUGUCCACUAGGCUACCCUGGA
rnacentral:tRNA from 1 species